UACGUAGGGGGCGAGCGUUGUCCGGAUUUAUUGGGCGUAAAGAGCUCGUAGGCGGUUUGGUAAGUCGGGUGUGAAAUCUCCACGCUCAACGUGGAGGGGCCACUCGAUACUGCCAUGACUCGAGUCCGGUAGAGGAGUGUGGAAUUCCCGGUGUAGUGGUGAAAUGCGUAGAUAUCGGGAGGAACACCAGUGGCGAAGGCGACUUCCUGGCCUGUUCUUGACGCUGAGGCGCGAAAGCUAGGGGAGCAAACGGG
rnacentral:rRNA from 1 species